rnacentral:rRNA from 1 species
UACGUAGGGUGCAAGCGUUGUCCGGAAUUAUUGGGCGUAAAGAGCUCGUAGGCGGUCUGUCGCGUCUGCUGUGAAAUCUCAGGGCUUAACCCUGAGCUUGCAGUGGGUACGGGCAGACUAGAGUGCGGUAGGGGAGACUGGAAUUCCUGGUGUAGCGGUGAAAUGCGCAGAUAUCAGGAGGAACACCAGUGGCGAAGGCGGGUCUCUGGACAGUUCCUGACGCUGAGGCACGAAGGCCAGGGGAGCAAACGGG